GAUAAACGCUGGCGGCGUGCCUAAUACAUGCAAGUCGAGCGAACGGACGAGAAGCUUGCUUCUCUGAUGUUAGCGGCGGACGGGUGAGUAACACGUGGAUAACCUACCUAUAAGACUGGGAUAACUUCGGGAAACCGGAGCUAAUACCGGAUAAUAUUUUGAACCGCAUGGUUCAAAAGUGAAAGACGGUCUUGCUGUCACUUAUAGAUGGAUCCGCGCUGCAUUAGCUAGUUGGUAAGGUAACGGCUUACCAAGGCAACGAUGCAUAGCCGACCUGAGAGGGUGAUCGGCCACACUGGAACUGAGACACGGUCCAGACUCCUACGGGAGGCAGCAGUAGGGAAUCUUCCGCAAAGGGCGAAAGCCUGACGGAGCAACGCCGCGUGAGUGAUGAAGGUCUUCGGAUCGUAAAACUCUGUUAUUAGGGAAGAACAUAUGUGUAAGUAACUGUGCACAUCUUGACGGUACCUAAUCAGAAAGCCACGGCUAACUACGUG
rnacentral:rRNA from 1 species